rnacentral:rRNA from 1 species
UACGUAGGGUGCGAGCGUUGUCCGGAAUUAUUGGGCGUAAAGAGCUCGUAGGCGGUUUGUCGCGUCUGCUGUGAAAACCUAAGGCUCAACCUUGGGCUUGCAGUGGGUACGGGCAGACUAGAGUGCGGUAGGGGUGACUGGAAUUCCAGGUGUAGCGGUGGAAUGCGCAGAUAUCAGGAGGAACACCGAUGGCGAAGGCAGGUCACUGGGCCGCAACUGACGCUGAGGAGCGAAAGCAUGGGGAGCGAACAGG